AUCAACCUCCUCUGCGAUCUCCUGGGGGAAUUCCCGUUGGAGAGGAGGGCAGACUGACCGCACACUAUGCCAACCAUAGUAAGAACUCACUGCCCAUCAGACGCAUGGAUGAGAACUUUACAUAUAAUGACGCAUUUAAUCAGCCACCGUUCUGAUGAGAAACUUACUUGAUUUCCAAUUUUAAACAUGAAGAAAAAGAGUGGCCAAAGGAACGAUCAAGUUCUCAUAACUAUUGAAGCCUCAACUUCAGACCAUCGCAGUGAGUAACGGAGACAGAAACCAUGUGCUUAAUGGAUUUGAUAUUUCAUCAUAUGUUCACCUCUUUAUCAUGGAACAAGUCAGCCAAUAAAAAGUGUAUGUAUUCACAGCAUAUAGCAUGAGGUUUGAUCUAAGAGUACAUUGUGGAAUGGCUACAUCAAACAAAUCAUCCAACGUGGAAAGAAUGACCUAAAUCAACGCAGAUGUCAUUCAUCACCCAAUCUUGGAAGCCACCACUGCUGUCACACCCCAUCACAGCUAUCACAGAGGCCAGCCCUACCAAAUGAAGGGCAGCAUGCACAGGGUGUGGGUAAGGAAGAAGAGAUGACAUGAGCCGCCUUGGAUGUCGGCCACCACACACUCUCUACCCUCCCUCCAUCUCUACCCUCCAGUCUUGCUUGAGAGGAGCCCACCUUUCUCCAUGGUCAAAGAAGAAAGAACUUUAAAGGUCUCAAAAUGGGAACUAAGCCCAGAUAUGCGUGCUUGAAUGAUGAUAACCAGCGAGAGCAGCCACCAUCUUGAACGACGUCCACACCACUGGCAGGAAGAGAGUCCUGGAAGGCCCUGCACUAGCGAUGAAAUACUCUGGCCCGGGGAUGAUGUAUGUCCCUCCCAUGCACAAUCCACCAGCCAUAAAUUGUCACUCUGUCUCCAGCGAGCCACAGGGAGCCAAGAAGAGCAAUCCUGUCACGUGCCUGGAAGAGGAGAAAGCUGGAAAUAGUUGGCAAACAAGACUCAUGACUCUUCAGCCUAAGAGAGCAAAACUGCAGAGAGGCAAAGGAGGGGUGGAGCUUGCGAUUUAAAUCCUGGGCAGGAGGAGACUUCUGCAAGGCUGUGCUAAUUCAUUAAUAAUUCCUGAAAACGUUGCCAGUUACUCCCUCUCCCUGGUCAUUCUCUACAGCCUCCUCAUGCCAGCCUAAAGACUAAAGAUCGCCUGAGUACUCUGCCUCAAGUUUGGGGGUCUCCUUUACUUCUUCUCACUCUUUACCCAACACCCCACCCUCACCUCUCCAUGGUGAGGGUGACUUGAGGAGUUCAUGGACUUGAGGUCACAUGCUCCACCAAUUUCAUCUUCCAGAGAACCACCCAGUCCCCCGGGAUCCUUAAAGGCAGCCCCCAACCCACUUCACAGAGAUGGGCUAUAACCUCUAGGCCUACCCUGACCACUGACCCUGGUUCUUAGUAGGCCCAGUUAAGCCAAGCUCACAUCAGCCUGAAGACCUGCUGACUCCAAUUCUCUCCCUUUUGAGUAGAUGCUCAACUCCUAGGAAUCUCAAGUACUUACACACACUACUUGGCCCAGUCUCUUUUAUCCAGGCCAAAGCAUCCAUCUCCCCAGAAGGCCUUCCCCAAGGGACCUGGGGGUGGUUGUGACAUGUGCCUUGUAACACAAUCUUGUCUUGCUGUAGACUCCAUAGGAGCGUGCAGUUUUGUUCAUGUUCUCAUAUGUCCUAGCUGCUGUGGUUAGAGCAUAUUUUGUUAUUGUCCAGGCAUAAGGCCUCUAUGUGCUCGCUCACAGACUAGUAAACAUCCAUUGUCUAUCAGGGG